UAGGUAGGGUGGCCGAGCAGGUGGCAAGCUGUAGACUUGCUUACGGGGCCACGCCCCCCCCCAAGCCCC
rnacentral:tRNA from 1 species